GACAGAGGUGCCGAGCGUUAGGCGGAAUCACUGGGCUUAAAGCGUGUGUAGGCGGACCGUUAAGUACCUUGUGAAAUCCCCCGGCUCAACCGGGGAACGGCUGGGUAUACUGGCGGUCUUGAGCCAUCCAGGGGCAGUCGGAACAGACGGUGGAGCGGUGAAAUGCGUAGAUAUCGUCUGGAACGCCGAAGGUGAAAACAGACUGCUGGGGAUGCGCUGACGCUGAGACACGAAAGCCAGGGGAG
rnacentral:rRNA from 1 species